rnacentral:rRNA from 1 species
CACGUAGGGUGCGAGCGUUGUCCGGAAUUAUUGGGCGUAAAGAGCUCGUAGGCGGUCCGUCACGUCGGAUGUGAAAUUCCAGGGCUCAACCCUGGACCUGCAUUCGAUACGGGCGGACUAGAGUUCGGUAGGGGAGACUGGAAUUCCUGGUGUAGCGGUGAAAUGCGCAGGUAUCGGGAGGAACACCAAUGGCGAAGGCAGCUCGCUGGGACGGUACUGACGCUGAGACGCGAAAGCGUGGGGAGCAAACAGG